rnacentral:rRNA from 1 species
UACGUAGGCAGCAAGCGUUGUUCGGAGUUACUGGGCGUAAAGGGUGUGUAGGCGGUUGUUUAAGUUUGGUGUGAAAUCUCCCGGCUUAACUGGGAGGGUGCGCCGAAUACUGAAUGACUAGAGUGCGGGAGAGGAAAGUGGAAUUCCUGGUGUAGCGGUGAAAUGCGUAGAUAUCAGGAGGAACACCGGUGGUGUAGACGGCUUUCUGGACCGUAACUGACGCUGAAACACGAAAGCGUGGGGAGCAAACAGG